UUUAGAGUGUAACUACCAUGAAUAAUGAGAAUCAACCAUCAUCUCCACUUCGUAGAUGAGGAAGCUGAGACCUGGGUCACAUGCCUGAAGGCUUUCUGAAUCUAAGUGGACCCCAUUUCAGCUCAACUUAAGGACCUCAAUCCUCUGCUGCUUACAAUUGUCCCUUUGCUCCUUGCCGUGCUCUCCUGUUGUUGAUAUUUUCAUUUCAGCCAUUCAAAUUGAAUAUUUAGAAGAAGGAGCACAAGAAAGAGGACACCCUUAACAGAAAAGUUAUUCAUUUCCAAUGCUGGAAUGGAGUGACACAAUCCCGGCUUACUGCAACCUCCACCUCCCUGGUUCAAGUGAUCAAGUGAUUCUCCUGCCUCAGCCUCCUGAGUAGCUGGGAUUACAGGCACCUGCCAGCAUGCCCAGCUAAUUUUUUUUUUUUUUUUUUUUUUUAGCAGAGACAGGGUUUCACCAUGUUGGCCAGGCUGGUCUUGAACUCCUGACCUCAAGUGAUUCACCUGCCCCGCCUCAGCCUCCCAAAGUGCUUGGAUUACAGGCGUGAGCCACUGCACCCAGCCAUUUUUCUUUUUAUUAAAAAGAAAAUCUUAUCUUUUUGGUAAUAAACAGCAAACAUUUG
rnacentral:lncRNA from 1 species